rnacentral:lncRNA from 1 species
UCUGCCUGCCAAUGCCGGAGACAUAGAAGAUGAAGCUUCAAUCUCUGGGUAGGGAAGAUCCCCUGAAUGAGGAAAUGGCAAUCCACUGCAGUAUUAUUGCCUGGAGAAUCCCAUGGACAGAGGAGCCUGGUGGGCUACAGUCCAUGGGGUUGCAGAGUUGGACACGACUUAACGACUGAGCAUGUGCGCCCACACACACACACACACACAAUCACACACACACAGGUUUACAAGAACUGGAGUGGGGAGGGGUUCUUGAGUUCUACUUUUGUCAACUACAAACGUGCUUGCCAAGGGCAUUUGGCAUCUGCCUCUGUAGAGACUGAACCCUGUGCUGCUGCAGCUAUUGACCUUCAACAUCCCCUGAAGCAAGUCCAGGGUGGAGAGUGAGGCUCUCUGUGCUCCAGGGAAACGGGUGGAACAGGUAUUUAGGUAGUUAGGUAUUUUCAGGAACUGAUUUCAUGAUCCCAAUCCUUGCAUCUCCUCAUAUCUAGAAAAGCACGAAAUCCCUUCAUGGUGACAUCAGCUCCUCGUGACUAGCAGAAAAUCUUUUGUAAAGUAAGUGCUUGAUUGCAUUGAACUCUCCCUUUCACCCAAAUCAUAUAUAUUGACCUUGCCCCACUACCUCUUUCUCAGAGCUAUCUGAGAUGCCGUCUCCUGGGCUGCAGUCCUCAAUUUGCUCCCAAAUAAAACUCAAUUUGCAACUCUCACCUUGUGCAUCUUUUCAGUCCACACUUUCCACAAAAGGACUUAAUUACUGGGCAGCUUCUAUCAGAUCUUUGCUUCCCUUCUGUCUCUUAGUCAAAUUAGGAAAGUGGAGGGACCUACACAGAGCAACUCCACUCUCCUCCUGUCUUCCUUCUCCAGGAAGGAGAGCCUCUUGGCUUUUGUGGGAGAAAGAUGGGCCACUCCUGCCAAGCAGGAUCAACAAACACCUCCAAGGCCAAGGCACCUCUGCCAGCAUCACCCUGCAGAUGACUCAGCAGCCUGGCAGCUUGACAACCGGCCUCAGGGAACCCUCGAGCUAUUCCCUUUGGGGGACCCUCAGUUCCCCCACCCCCAUCCGGAGAGUACCCUCCGUCCUCUCCAGGCCCAGGCUCAACUCAGACUCGUCUUGGGCCUCCUCCUGGGCUGGUUCUGAAUGUAAACCGCCAUCCGGGUCUUCAACUGGUCGGCAGGUGGCGGUAGGUGAGUUCUACACUUCCUGGUUCCAGCUUGGAUUCAUCUCCCAGGUUGCUCCCCAUGCCUUCACACCACACAGGCCUCUGGGGUCUGUCCACUGACGCUCCCAGUCCAGCCCCCUGCCUCCAGCCCCCGUUCAGGGCCACCUGGCUGCCUGUGACCCUUCUAGGCAAUAGCUUUUCUUCUAAUUAACUUUUUGUUUUGUUUUAAUGUGGACCACUUUUAAAGUCUUUAUUGAAUUUGUCACAAUAUGAUUUCUUUUUUAUGUUUUGGUUUUUUGGCCAUGAGCCAUGAAGAAUCUUAGCUUCCCAACCAGGGAUGGAACAAACACCCCCUGCAUUGAAAGGCGAAGACUUAGCCACUGAACCUCCAAGGAAGUCCCUUUAAUUAACUGUUUAUGAUGAAACACGAUGUCUGAUUAGAGGAACAGAAGCUUGUUCUGUUUGCCCAAGCUAACAGGUAAAACUUGCUAACAAAUCCUCUGUCAGCAAAUUACCUUGCAAGGGAUGGUGCUCUGCUAGAAGACCUGCAGCCCCUCCUCAACUGUUUAAGUCGGGAGCCCAGCACCCUGCCAGAGGAGGGAACGCAGGAUCUGUCCCCAGGUUUGGCCAAGACCACUCCUGUCCAGAGGCCUUGGUGCAGAGAGGCUGCUGAGAGGACGCGGGGACAUUCCACUCACCCCUGCGUAUACUCUACCUCUGGCAAACACCAGUCUGUUCUCUGGAUCUGUGAUUUCAAUUUCUGUUUGGGGAGGUUUUUUUCCUUUCAAUUCCACAUGUGAGUGAGAUCAUGCGAUAUUUAUCUUUGUCUUAUUUCAUUCAGCAUGAUGUCCUUGCUGUUGUCAAAAAUGACAGGAUCAAAAGUCUUCUUUACUUGAGGAAAUGACUUAAAAAAAAAACAAAACCCAGUUAGGCCCUCCCUAGAGCAUCCCUGCAUGUAAGUCACUUCAGUCAGGUCCGACCCUGUGCAAUCCCGGGGACCAUAGCCCUCCAGGCUCCUCUGUCCAUGGGAUUCAAGCAAGCAUACUGGAGUGGGUUGCCAUGACCUCCUCCGGGGGAUCUCCCCAACCCAGGGGUCAAACUCGUGUCUCUUAAGUCUCCUGCAUUGGCAGUCGGGUUCUUUACUGCUAGUGCCAUCUGGGAAGCCCAAACCCAGAAAGGGCUGAUGACAAAAGAGUUUACUUGUUUCUAAAACAAACCUAAGUUAUUAUUUCCCUCAUGGGAACAUGACCCUCUUUUUCUUUUUGAGGUCCUUGAUUGUUUGCAAUAAAAAUACAGUUCGAUGUUUGUUUAAGGACUGA